AUUGAACGCUAGCGGGAGGCUUAACACAUGCAAGUCGAACGAGUGGCGGACGGGUGAGUAAUAUAUGGGAAAGUGCCCGGUAGAGGGGGAUAACUACUAGAAAGAGUGGCUAAUACCGCAUACUAUCGGAGGGGCCGAUAUGGGAUUAGCUAGUUGGUGGGGUAAAGGCUCACCUAGGCAACGAUCCCUAGCUGGUCUGAGAGGAUGACCAGCCACACUGGAACUGAGACACGGUCCAGACUCCUACGGGAGGCAGCAGUGGGGAAUAUUGGACAAUGGGGGCAACCCUGAUCCAGCCAUCCCGCGUGUAUGAAGAAGGCCUUCGGGUUGUAAAGUACUUUCGGCGGGGAGGCGGUACCCGCAGAAGAAGCACCGGCUAACUACGUGCCAGCAGCCGCGGUAAUUC
rnacentral:rRNA from 1 species